rnacentral:rRNA from 1 species
CCUACGGGAGGCAGCAGUGAGGAAUAUUGGACAAUGGACGCAAGUCUGAACCAGCCAUGCCGCGUGCAGGAAGACGGCGCUAUGAGUUGUAAACUGCUUUUGUACGAGGGUAAACGCAGAUACGUGUAUCUGGCUGAAAGUAUCGUACGAAUAAGGAUCGGCUAACCCCGUGCCAGCAGCCGCGGUAAUACGGAGGAUUCAAGCGUUAUCCGGAUUUAUUGGGUUUAAAGGGUGCGUAGGCGGUCGGAUAAGUUAGAGGUGAAAUCCCGAGGCUCAACUUCGGAAUCGCCUCUGAUACUGUUCGGCUAGAGAGUAGUUGCGGUAGGCGGAAUGUAUGGUGUAGCGGUGAAAUGCUUAGAGAUCAUACAGAACACCGAUUGCGAAGGCAGCUUACCAAGCUACUUCUGACGUUGAGGCACGAAAGCGUGGGGAGCAAACAGGAUUAGAUACCCCUGUAGUC